UACGUAGGGUGCAAGCGUUGUCCGGAAUUAUUGGGCGUAAAGAGCUUGUAGGCGGUUUGUCGCGUCUGCUGUGAAAUUUCGGGGCUCAACCCCGAACUUGCAGUGGGUACGGGCAGACUAGAGUGUGGUAGGGGAGACUGGAAUUCCUGGUGUAGCGGUGAAAUGCGCGGAUAUCAGGAGGAACACCGAUGGCGAAGGCAGGUCUCUGGGCCAUAACUGACGCUGAGAAGCGAAAGCAUGGGGAGC
rnacentral:rRNA from 1 species